rnacentral:sRNA from 1 species
CCUUACUUUUUAACCUCCUUAUAGCAGUUUUGGUUUGAAUAUAUUGAUGAAAGCCAAAGUCUCGUAUCUAAAACUUGGGCCAAUGUUUCCCAACUGGUCCAUGUCAGGCUUUCCCAGUAGCUUAACUGUGACCCUAUACGGAUGGCUUUUUAGGUAGUUCUAUACUACUGUAUUGUGUUAGCACUUUUCUUUGUUCAUUAACAACACAACUUUAAAUGACAUUUGUUGAAUGAAUGGUUUUCAUUUGAUUGAUUUUCCUAUUUUUUAUUUCAUGCUAUGAGGUAGCAAAAUAAUUCAACUGUUGUUUUUAUUGUUGUUUUCUAAACAAGCAUUUCAGAACUUAUACCUCCAAAUGAGAGUUGUUCCCUUCAAAAUAAUCACCUUGGGAAGCUGUCUACUUACUCCAGCAAUGUUGCCAUUGCUCUGAACAUUUUUGGGAAAUUCUUCUUUUAAAUUGUUUUUAGAGGCUGCAGUAUUAUUUUAAAUAUCCUCAGUGAUGAAAACUCUUCAUCCUUUGGGAGAUUUAGUUUUUGGAAAUAACUGAAAUUCAUUCAGAGCCAAGUCUGGUGAAGCAGGUAGGAGAUCAACUUGGGUGAUUAAAUUUUUUGGUUCUCACCACCAUAUCCCCAACCCUGGCCCAAACCAUUCAGUUUUAAAAGAAGAUAAGAAUCUCAGAGUGUAAUUUUUUUGGUUUUGUUUUGCCACUGUGCUUGUUCAGUGCUAUCCAAUAAAAUGUCUGUAUUUUGCUUCACAUUAUUUCACCCUCUGAUUCAGCAGUUCUGACGUUGAACAAAGGCAAUAUAUAUUUUUCCCUUAUCUAGAUGUAUAUGAGCAGUCUUCCGAUGUGCAUUAUAUCUACAGCUGUUAAAAUGUGACUUUUUUUAGUUAUAUUAUGAGUGUUUGUGGUACACAAAGUUAACAGGUUCUGCCCUCAGAUUUGGAGAGUACAGUUUACAUUUGACUCUGACAGUAGUGUUAAAAGGGCUUUUUCCCCCUAAAGUGUUUUGAGGAAUAAUAUACUUUGGAUUGUUAAUUCUCUUUAUUUGACAUUAAAAUAACAAAUUUUUCUUAGGCAUUUGGAUAUCUUUAAGUUAAUAAAAGGUAUUAACAUGCAGUUUCUAGGAUAAGGAUACCCAGAAACUACUUUUAAACAUACUACACAUUCAAUUCUGUUUUCUAGUAGCCAGAGAAGUCCAUCACCUGGUCCCAAUCAUACUUCUAAUAGUAGUAAUGCAUCAAAUGCAACAGUUGUACCACAGAAUUCUUCUGCCCGAUCCACGUGUUCAUUAACGCCUGCACUAGCAGCACACUUCAGUGAAAAUCUCAUAAAACACGUUCAAGGAUGGCCUGCAGAUCAUGCAGAGAAGCAGGCAUCAAGAUUACGUGAAGAAGCGCAUAACAUGGGAACUAUUCACAUGUCCGAAAUUUGUACUGAAUUAAAAAAUUUAAGAUCUUUAGUCCGAGUAUGUGAAAUUCAAGCAACUUUGCGAGAGCAAAGGUAAGUCUUUAUAUCACUGAAAUAUAUUUUUAUGUUUCUCAGGAUUAUGAUUCUUAAAUCGAACUAAAUAAUGUAAAUCACAUUUAUGAAAUGUAAAGUUCUCUUUGAUACAUUGAUCACAUUCUAUCACUGCAUUUUCGUAAGUUAAUAAUAUUUCUUGUGAAGGAUAAAGCCUGUCGAUUUUCUCUUAACCCAUGAUGAAUGCUUCAUUAGACUUUUCUCAUAACUCCAUAAGCUGCAAUAAUAUAUUAUUGAAAAA